AGCCGAGCCGAGCCGAGCCGAGCCGGGCCGCGCCGCUGUCACACGCCCGUGCUGCAUCACCCUGGCCCCUCCCCGCCCGCGGCCCAACCGCACCGCAUCUGCAUGGAGCAAAGUGAAAAAUGACACUGCAGGACAUACAGUUCUUGAAGGAAAAUUCAAGUACCUGCUAUUCCUACAAACUGGCACGUGACUUCGAAAAAAGUAGAGAACUACAUAAAAACCUGCUCAGGAAUAAACAUCUAAUUUCAGGAUUAAGCAAGGCUGGAAGGGAAAGAAGAAUAGCAACAGAAUGACCUUCAUCUUUUUCUCAGUAAUAAAGCAAAACAAAGCAGAACAAUCUCCAGCCUAACAAUAUUGUAAAACCUUUGCAUUUGAGCAGGUGGGAAAGUAAGAGAAGUUAUUCUGUACUUGCACCUGUACAGAACACAUUUUACAAUACUAGGAAUGUUAUUUCUGCAUUUAGAGCAUCAGUCACUACUGUUGCAGUACUCACCGCUCUCCAGUAUCUGCCCUGUCCUCCUCAGAACAGAGGAAGGAGGCCUUGCAAAUGCUGAUCUUUAGUUUGGACAACAUGGUUCUAAUCUAUGUGAUGAUUUAUUUUGCCCUUCCCUGACACAUUAUGUUCUUACCUUGGAUUUGUUUCUCCAAAGGCAAAGGGGUCUAUGAGCAUAACACAGUGCACACAAAAUCCCAACUCUGCCAAAGCCCUUGGCAAAGACUGCAACAGUUUACUCUCAACUAUUUAAUAGUUACACCAGUCUGGGUAAAGAAGUCACCUCCCUUCACCAUCUCUGCAAACUGCCUGCCCUUCCACAAGUCUGUCCAGAUCCCUUUGGAAAGCCGCCCUUCCCUGCAGCAAAUCAAAGCCUCCAGUGGAGACCAGCUGCCAGCUAGCUCUAACUCCAUUUACCACCAGUCCCUGGGCUCAGCCAUCCAGCUGGUUUUUACCCAGCAAAGAACACACCUAUCCAAGCAAAGAGCUGCCAGUUUCUCCAGGAGAAUGUUGUGGCAAACUGUGUUAAAGGCUUUACUAAAGUUCAUGUAAGCAACAUCCACAGCCUUUCCCUCACCCACCAAGGUCCCCUCACCACAGAAUGAGAUGAGCUGGGCCAAGCAGGACGUGCCUUUCAUGAACCUGGGCUGGCUGGGUGUGAUCCUGUACGUGCUGCUUGAUGUUGCUCAGGACAAUCUGCUCCAUGACCUUCCUUGGCACUGAGGUCAGGCUGACAGGCCUCUGGUUCCCUGAACCCAUUUGAUAGAUGGGUUCUAUCACACUUCACACCUGCUGCCCUCCAGGCAGCUGGGACCCACUCCUCCCUGUUACCCAGGGCUGCUGGUGGAUGAUGGAAGGCGCCUCAUGAGCACCCUCACCAGCUCCCUGAGUUCCCUCAGAUCCCUCAGGAUCCCAUAGAUUUGUGUGUGUCUCAGUGGUGUAGCAGGGCACUGAUCAUUUCCCCUUGGAUUAUGGUGGCUCCAUUCUGCUCCCCAUCCUUGUCUUUCAGCUCAAGGGACUGGGUACCCACAAACAAUUUGCCUUGCUCUUAAAGACUGAGGCAAAGAAGGCAUUAGGUACUUCAUCUAUUUCCUCAUUCUCUGUCACUAUUAUUUCUCCCUGCAUCCAAUAUGGAAUGGAGGUUCUCCUUAGCCUUCCUUUUGUCCCUGAUGUAUUACAGAGCAUGGAUUCCCUUGUGAAGGUAACACUGAGAAGUUUCCUCCUAUUACUGUAAUGAUUCCUAAAACUGAAAGAAAUGUCACCCUGCAGGGCAUUUGAUCCCAAAAAUCAAGCAGCACAUUUGAGUAAAAAUGCAUAGGAACAACUUCUAUCUUCAAAUACACAGAAAAUGAGCAUGUGUUCUGUCCUUUCUGAGAAAAAGAAUCACAUGGAAAGAUUAUUAUUGAAAAUAAAUAGAUAAUAUAUUAUGCAAAUGAUGAGUACAACAUCAAAAAAGUCACACUGACAGUCUGUAAAAAAAAAAAUACUGGAACCAUUUUCUUUGUAAAUACCUCUACAUUUAUGUGACCAAGAUGGUUGAGAAAAUUUUGGCUUUCUUGUUGUCCCUGCUCUUCCAGGAAAACUCACUAAUAACUUUUAUUUGUCCUCAAUCACUUCAAACAUUACUAUUUCUAUGGUCUGUUAUUUACAGCCUACACUGGUUAUUUUUUAGGUGUAAUUUAAGCAGAUAGAGGUGUUUUCAUUUUUCCUAGGAGCAAAGUGGACAUUUUUUUGUGAAGUCAAAAUUGUAACUUCCAUCCAAAGAUAAUUUUCUCUACUCACCAUUAGAGAGGUUCAUGGACAAGUGGGUCAAAUCACAUUUACCUGGUUCUUCUUAUUUUUAAGUUAAAAACAAUCUCAUAAAGAGGAAUGGAAUGAGGAGGAAGCCUUUAACAAAAACCCUAGACAAUAUUCCCAGUGUGCAUGCAAAUGCCUUCCCUAAGAUUACGAGCCAAAUCCUUACUGUGUGGCAAAUAUUAGCACUCCACUGACUUAAGUAGGUCAGUUCACAUGAGAAAGAUUAGCAAAACUCUGCUCUAAAUUUGUAGCACAAUGCAAAUUUGUGAGCCAACAUUUGCAGAUAACUAGCUGUGCCAUUUUAAAAUGCUACUCAUUAUCAAUCCCACCUAUAACCUACAUAAUUUGAUCUGGUCAAAUACCCAGGGAGAAGGUGGUGAGGAAGGAAGCUUUAAUCAAAAGUGUAUCAGUUAUUUGGAAUUUCAUAAUAGUCCACAAUGCUACUCAUGAAACAACCCUCUAAUUGAGCUAAAUACAGUACAAACAGAGAAAUAACAGUGCCCUGUACUAAAGAAUUUAUGAGUAAACUAUAAAAUGGAAGAGCUACAUGCAGAUCAGCAGUGACAUUUAGGUAAACAGGGAGUCAGUAAUGAGGAUGGAGUCCUGGUUUAGAGCUUUCUUCAAAAGAAGGUCAUUAGAAACUGUGCAAAGAAGCAAUAAACUGGACUCAAGAGGUUGAAAAAUAACUGCAUAACAAGAAUAAAACAAGCUUAGACAUAAAAGGAGGAGAACUGGCCAGCAGGUCAAGGAGGAAAGUAAAAGGCAAGAGCAGGCAUGACACAGAUGCCAAUACAGACUGUGGGGGUCAGUAAAAGAAGAGUUAAACAGCAAAACAAACAAAAAUGAAUCUGUGCCAGAAGGAGAAAAAUCUCAUAGGACAGGGAAAGAAAAUAUUUAAAGAGAGAAAUAAACCUACAUUUCCCUUUGUUGUUUUGGGCAGAAGAAUCAGAGAAAGGGGAAGGUAGAAGGGAAAAACAAACAAAAAAAAGUCAACCAACCAAAAAAAAAAA